rnacentral:rRNA from 1 species
AGUGAACGCUGGCGGUAGGCCUAACACAUGCAAGUCGAACGGCAGCACAGUAAGAGCUUGCUCUUACGGGUGGCGAGUGGCGGACGGGUGAGGAAUACAUCGGAAUCUACUUUUUCGUGGGGGAUAACGUAGGGAAACUUACGCUAAUACCGCAUACGACCUACGGGUGAAAGCAGGGGAUCUUCGGACCUUUCGCGAUUGUAUGAGCCGAUGUCGGAUUAGCUAGUUGGCGGGGUAAAGGCCCACCAAGGCGACGAUCCGUAGCUGGUCUGAGAGGAUGAUCAGCCACACUGGAACUGAGACACGGUCCAGACUCCUACGGGAGGCAGCAGUGGGGAAUAUUGGACAAUGGGCGCAAGCCUGAUCCAGCCAUACCGCGUGGGUGAAGAAGGCCUUCGGGUUGUAAAGCCCUUUUGUUGGGAAAGAAAAGCAGCAGGUUAAUACCCCGCUGUUCUGACGGUACCCAAAGAAUAAGCACCGGCUAACUUCGUG